UGGAACACCUAUGGAUCAACACUGGUCAGG
rnacentral:piRNA from 2 species